rnacentral:sRNA from 1 species
GCCAGGUGUGGUGGCGCACGCUUAUAAUCCUAGUGACUUGGGAGGCUGAGGCAGGAGGAUUGCAAGUUUAAAUCCAGCCUCAGCAACUUAGCGAGGCCAUAAGCAACUCAGUGAGACCCUGUCUCUA